GUGCCCUUGCUGUCCAAAACUCGGUGGAAUUUUGCAGCUAUUCUGUAACACCCCAAGAAUUUAACCAUGUCUUGUGUAUUAAAAUUUUGCCAGGAAACUUAAAUUUUAUUUUUCUGGAUUUAUUUUUGAUUUCAGAACCAUUCUUUUCUUUAUUAUUAUGGAGUUUUGCCUUAAGUGAAAACUUUUCAAAACUAUGUUGUUGGACUUGUAUACCCUCCCUUUAGACAUUGCUUUUAUCAAUGGAGUUAUUUAUAUGAUUAUUUUCCCUGAGCUUUAUUUCUUUUAAGAUAAUUUUUUUAUAAGAUUUAGAGCCUCUUUUGCACUGCAACCCUUUGAUAAAUUUAUUUAAAAAUUCCACCAAAAUUUGGGGAUGACAAGUGAUGUUCCUAAAUCACUUUUAUGCAAAAAUAUCCUUUAGUCAUUUGGAGAUUGUGAGCUCUACACUAAAUUUUCCAAUCUGGUCCAGAUGGCUCUGUUUGCAGUACAACUUAUUUAAAUAUUCUUUUAAAAAUCCCACAAAAAUUAGGGGAGGUCAGUAAGAGUGUAUUAUUCAACUUUGUGCAAAAAUCCACUGAUGUUCUUUGAAAAAUUUGAGCAAAACUUCCUCUUUUGCCCUAUGGUCCAGUCUGGCUUUUUCUACAGCAACUCUGAUUUUUGUUGCUCUAGUGCCGAUGAUCCUUCUCCUUCUUAUCAACCACCCUGCAAAACCCUUAAGUCCAUGAGAUUGGACCCAUUGGGGUAUUUUUGGUGCAUGCAAUAAUAGCUUUUAGUUUCUGUCCAGAACUGGUUUUCUCAAAAACUUCCACUAGCAAGUUUCUGUUUUUGCCAAACUAAUCUUACCACCCUCUUUUGCAUCUAAAGAGACACUAGUCUGGAGAGUUUGGCCACCCCAAGAUUUGCCUAGAUGCUCUUAGCAUUUUGUCAAACACCUUGAGUGCAUGAGAAGUUUUGGCAUAAGUUUUAGUUUACAUUAUGAACUUGAUCCUCUGAUCAAACUAGCUUGUCCACUGAUCUACUUGCACACCCUAGUCUAGACCUGGUAAUCCCCAGCCCCACCCAAGCCUCCUAGCAUGACCUGGCAUUUCGCCGAGCACCUGGUGCGCGUGCUCUGGGCGGGCCCAGAGCGCACGUUUUGCACGCGCGCGCACCGAGCCGCCGCGUCUCACUGCCGCCUCCCCGUGCUCGUUCUGGCCACUCCCCACUUGCAGCCAGCACGGCCGCCCCCUCCCUCGCCGCAGAGCCGUUCCUAGAGCUCCACAGCGCCGCUAUCCGGUCGGCCGUGGCAACUAGCGACCGGCCACAGUAGGCCCCUGCCCCGGACGGCGCCGCCCGAGCCACCCGCACGUGCCAGCUGCCCCUGGAACAAUGCGAUCCCAUCCGCAAGCCCGUCCGCUAGCUCGCGUCACCGCCACGUCACCCUGUAGCACAGAAUGGUGGUUCACCGUCGAGCUUAUCUCCGGCCGCCACCGAACCGACCUAAUCACGCUAUAAAAGGAUCCCCGAGCCUCUCCGAACCCUCAGGCAACAUUCAAGCCAACCCCCUAGAGCUCCCCUGGCCAGCAACCGACGGCGGGAAGCUUUCUCCCCCAUCUCCGGCCAGUACAGCCGCCGCCGCCCUCCGGUCCAUUCAGUCGCAACCCGAGCGCCUCCCGUCCAACCAGUGCCACCAUCCCCUUCCCCUCGAUCUCGCGGAGCCACCCAACACCUCAAAUUCGCUCAGGAACCAUCGUAGCACGAACCCCCAAACUCACCCGAAGCUGCCAUCCGCCGCGGAGCUCACCGCUGGCGACUCCCUCUAUCCCCGCCACCCCCUCGACCACCGGGAGGACCGCCCUGGCCUGGCGGAUCCAUCCCCGCCCGCAGAACCCCAUGAGGAGCCGCCAAUCGCCAGCGACGAUCGCCGGAGCCCCGCCUCUGUUCGGCCAUAGGAGGGAGGCGGGGGCGACUGGUCAAACCUGACCAGUGGGCCCCCUGGACCCACUAUCAGUGACCCAGCGCCGGUCCACGCUGGACUAAGUGAAGGCGUAAACACCAGAGUACGUCUUCGACGUGUAUUCUUUCCGAAACGUUUUUCUUUUUUUCUGUAUUAUUUUUUAAACACAGAAUUUGACCAAAACUUUGAUUGACCAUAUCUUUUAAAAUAUAACUCCAAAUGAGUUGAUUGUUUUUCCUACCUCUCUCAAACUUUGUCUAGUUUAUUUUAAAAUAGGAUUUUUGGAGAGAGAAGAAAACUUUCAAAAAGUUUUGGGAAUGCACCCUGCCUCUCCACAACCUGAAGGCAAGCAUUCUGAACCCUGGCAUAAUAUUUUUGGGUGUUGGUUGACACGAUUAUAACACCCCCUUAAUACGAAGAACUCGUUAUUUUAUGUGGUGAUACAAUCAUUUGCAUGAAUGCAUAUUGGAGAUUUCCUUGCUGUUGGAAAUGGAUAUACUUGUGAUGGUAAUUGUCCUCAUAUGCCUUGCAUGCAUGCCGGAAAGAAAUUCGAGAAAGCCUCUUCCUUGGGUAGGCGUUAGUUUGUCUCCGGUCUUCGUCCGGACGGUUAUGUCCGGUAUGGCAUAGUAAGGUAUAAUGAGUGGUGAUUUUGUUGGUUGAAGUAUAUUGGUUAUACAUAUCAUACAGGGAAUUUUUUUAAACCUCCUAAGUCGACCGUAGAUCGAGUCUUGUCCCAGUAACCCCCAUACUUGUUUUCGUACUACCACUUGUCCCUGCCGCAGGUAGGGUAUGGUUCAGUAAGUUGUCAACCCCUUCCUAGCACACACCGUACAAAGAGGCCAUGGUGGAUGAUACCGACUGCAGCCGGUAGGCAGGCCACCUGGUCCGGGGGCAUGGGUGUUUCAGUUGUAGCCGAGGGGGUAGCUCCCCCAGUUUGCGCACGAUAUAAAUUUUCUGAUCCCAUGCUAAUCGAGGUUGUAUCCUCCCCACUUAGAGUUUUGCUUGACAGGUGUCGUGGGUGAUUCCAGACACCGGUAAGUCAAGUUGGUGUGUGCGGGUCAGGUGUGUUUUCAAUUAAAAGACCGUAGACAGAAUUAGUCCUGAUGGACUAAAGGAAUCCAUUACUCGUGGGUAAAGAGUACACCCUCUGCAGAGAUUAAAUCUAUUCGAAUAGCCGUGUCCAUGGUUAAGGACUACAGUCUGGGAUGGGUCGAGUGUCGGUCUUCGGAGGAGGAACUGCUAAACCAGAACAUGGAUCAUGACGUGUGACUUAUGAUGAUUAUGAUUAUUAUUAUUAUGGACUAACCCCUUUAUAUUAUUUGAAGUAUUGAGUAUCCCUGGGAUGGUUCUACCUCCUGGAUAUUCACUAUGACUAUUUACUUUAUAAGCCCUUUAUGUGGUGUCGCGCAGACGCCCGACUGUGGCAUGCUUGUUAUUUAUUUACCUUAUAAGCCCUUUAUGUGGUGUCGCACAGACGCCCGACUGUGGCUUGUUUGUUACUUAUUUCACUUAUAAGCCCUUUAUGUGCUGUCACUCAGACGCCCGACUAAGGCAUGCUUUAUAUUAUUGUCCUUUUGAGGCGUCGCUUCAGACACCCGAUCGGUGCAUUCUAUUUUUAUUCUCUGACUGCAUACUCAUGAUUUACACGAACAACCUGCCUACGUGCCUGCCUACGUGCAUCAUGGAUUUUAUUUUUUUGACUCACGUUGUGAUCAGAGAAUAGUUCAGUGCAUGAUUAUCAUUUAUGUUAUACUCGUGUUCAUAAUGUUUGCGAGUACAUUCAAAGUACUCACUGGCUUGUCCCUGGCUAUUGUCUUGGCCAGAUUUCUUGCAUGGAGAGGAGCAUUGCAAUGACAGCCCUGGAACCUAAGCAACGGUGAUAGCAGCCUCGUGAAGAUAGGAGUUAGCCUGGUCUGCUGUUCCUGUGGGAAAUGGAGUCCCAUAGACGCUGAUGAUCAACAAACCUCUUCCGCCAUCAACCACUAGAAACCAUUUGAUGUACUCAUAGGCCAGAAUGGUCUUGUACUACAUAUUCUGUAUUUUUCUUGGAAUUUCUGUAUCAAGUUGGUGCCUCAUCAGCUAACAGUAAUCCUGGGGCUGGUGAGCACAAGGGCCAUUUUCUGGGAAACAAUACCCAGAGAACCGGUUGUGACAUAUUCCUAGAACAUGUUGUAGUGUCCCUUGCUGUCAAAAACUCGGUGGUGGUGAUAGGAUUUGUUUUUGGCUUGAUGGGCAUAGUAUGCACUCUGGAAUGCUACACCAUUGAAGUGUAAACGAAUUGUGCAAAAAAAAUUGUUGUCUUGCAUUUUACUGGUGUCUAUUCUUGUCAUGUAUAAUUCUCAUUUAGUACUGAAGGAUGCAGGCAGGGAAUUCUAUUGUUUGAUUAACUGAAUCAAAACCUGAAGGAG
rnacentral:lncRNA from 1 species